rnacentral:lncRNA from 1 species
AAAUAUCACAAUCUUGUAUAUUUGUGUGUGUAUUUCUUUUUUAUGUAUUUUGUAGGAUUUAGAAUGAAGAAAAGAAGAGAAAAGAGACUCAUGUUCAAAAAGACAAAGAAGUCAAAAACCAAGAUGCUCAACUAGGCAGCUAAGCGUGGACCAAGCCACGCUAAGCUGACAUGGACACCAGCCUGACCUGGACCAAGCUGCUCAAGCAAGCAGCUGAGCGGACCUGCUUGGCCGCUCAGCCUAGGACCAGACUAGUCCUGGCACGGUCAGAAUUCAGCUUGACACGGUCACACACAAGCUUGGCACAUACCCAAGCUGCUGAACAAGCAGCUUAGCGGAGAACCAGACUCCUAACAAGAUCAGCAAGCACCAGACCACGUCCCAGUCAGCAUAGUCUAAGCUGCUGAACAAGCAGCUUAGCGGUGCAACAAGUGUGUAAGCGGUGUGCACCCAGACUUGACUUAACCAUCAAGAAAACCAUGAAGUCACCAAUGAUCUCACCUCAAGUAGCUCACCUUAGGCUUUUCAGAGUAGCUCACAAUAGCUGGUUUCAUAGCUCACAACUAGCUUUGAUGAGUCAAGCAUAA